rnacentral:lncRNA from 1 species
GGGAAUUCUGGGGCUCACAAUUCCCAUGAAUCCACCCAAAUAGCCCUAACAUGAAUCACAUCAGGGCAUUGACACUGACACACAAGACUUGUUGGAGCUCUGAGCUGAAUCAUCUGAGCUGCUCUGUCAGCUUUAAAAUUAGAGACUUUUCAGCACGGUCUUCAGGAAAUGAGAGUCUCCUUUGAAGUUACCACAGAACACACUGGCUUUUUAAAGAAUGUUUUUUACUCAGCGUUUGGUUGUCAUAACAUCUCAUUUUCUGGUGCAAGUCUUCAGUGCAGUUAUCCCAGUCAAAAUGAAUCCUGUAAUUAUCUCAGCCCUCAGAAGGGCCAAGUACCUCAUCUUCUGCCCGCACCUCACCUCAGUCAAUUUCAGGUGAGUGCCUUGGUAAUUGUAUGUCACUGCAGGUCACAACAGGCCAGGGAUUAUCGCCACCCCACUCACCUCCAGCAGUGGAGUACUUAGUUACUGCCACCAGAUCACUGAGUGAUCUAGCUUGAAAGUUCCAUCUCGGUGGUUUGAUUGAUAGGGCCACUCUUGGUACUAGUUGUUCAAGCCUGGGCUCCCUAUUGUGGCACAGCUUAAAGAGGUGGCUUGAGUACGAUCCCAGAGGUCAGAAGUGAAGGACAAGAAGAAAGAAGGGAGCAGAGGAGAGCCAAUGGGAGGAUGUGUUAGCAAGCAGGUUGCCUCUAGAGGGACUGAUUGCUCAGUGAGUUGUGUCCAUUCCUGAGAAGCUGUUUAAAAAGACCCUACAUAUCAGAUUGUCUAUUGAUGGGGAGAGAAAAAGGGGAAGAGUUUACUUACUCAUCUGUCUCCCACCUCCCAUUGGUGAAAGCUUCACACUGGGGACUCCCCUGCACUUCCAGGUCUGCCUAUCCGUGUGCCCAGCAGAGGCCCCAGCAAUGUCAACAGGGAAGCCCCAGUCAGGAGAUGAAAGGCCUGAGGCUGGCUAUGCGAUGAGGGCCUAUCAGGCUGGCCUGCAUGAAAUCAGCCAGAAUCUAUGCCCAGUUGGUUGUCACAGGGGUGAAACUAGUGAGGCUUAGAGGACCUCACGUUAGAUAAGGUAGGAAAGUCAGAGAGAAGUGUGUG